rnacentral:pre_miRNA from 9 species
AGCAUUUUAAGAGAGCUUUCUUCAGUCCACUCAUGGGUGGCGGUAGGAUUUAAUUAGCUGCCGACUCAUUCAUCCAAAUACUGAGUUAAAAAGUUCAGAAAACAAAAGGGGCGGGUGCUGUAGAAAAGAAGGUUUACCCAGUAAAUGAGUGAAUGAUGCGGGAGACAAAUUGAAUCUUAAGCUUCCUGUACUUGGACUGAAGGGAGCUCCCUUUACUGUUAUU